CUGGUUGAUCCUGCCAGGAGUGAUAUGCUUGUUUCAAAGAUUAAGCCAUGCAUGUCUAAGUAUAAGCGAACUUAUAUAGUGAAACUGCAGAUGGCUCAUUAAAACAGUCUGAAUCUAUUUGAUGAAUGUAUGAGAAUACUACAUGGAUAUCCGUAGUAAUUCUAGAGCUAAUACAUGCAAGAACGCCCGACCUCUGGAAGGGUUGUAUUUAUUGGAUACAAAAACCAAACCUGGCAACAGGUUUUGUUUGUUGAUUCACAAUAACUGAUCGGAUCGGGGCCUCGGCUCCGAUAGGUCAUUC
rnacentral:rRNA from 1 species